rnacentral:lncRNA from 1 species
UUGUUGAAUAUUGGAUCCUAUUUUUUGGUCUUUGGUCUUUGGUCAUUAAUCAUUGGUCAAUGGUCAAUGGUCCUCACUCCUUUAAUGGGUCAAGGGAACAUAUCACCAUUAUCUCAUUAAUGUUACUCCUUUAGUGAAAAUGAGUCCAACUCAUUUCCUUUUCUACCCUCUAGUUCUUGGCUAUAAAAGGAGGCCAAAUGGAAGAGGAAAGACACACCAAAAUUGAUAGAGUAUAUCUUAGAGAGAAGAAGAGCAAAGCUCUAGUUUGAGUGUCAAAGAGAGUUAGAGAGUGAGAAGCUCAGUUAGAGCAUUCAGAAAGUGAGGGUGUAGAGAGAAAUAAACAGUUAGUUUAUUUCUCAGUUGAGAGUUUGUAAUCUCCA